rnacentral:rRNA from 1 species
UACGAAGGGGGCUAGCGUUGCUCGGAAUCACUGGGCGUAAAGGGCGCGUAGGCGGCCAUUCAAGUCGGGGGUGAAAGCCUGUGGCUCAACCACAGAAUUGCCUUCGAUACUGUUUGGCUUGAGUAUGGUAGAGGUUGGUGGAACUGCGAGUGUAGAGGUGAAAUUCGUAGAUAUUCGCAAGAACACCGGUGGCGAAGGCGGCCAACUGGACCAUUACUGACGCUGAGGAGCGAAAGCGUGGGGAGCGAACAGG